AGUCAACAGCCACACUCCAGGGGAUUUUCCCCUGUGAAAACGUUCAGAGAAGAGGUCCCCAAACUCCACUAGGAAUCCAUUCUAAUGUCUCCACAAGGCAAGGUUAAGACCUGCGAUUGUCCCACGGGCCCAAUAGCACCUAAGCUCACCAGGUUCAGCGUGAUCAUCAGCCAGUAACGAAGGACCCACUGGCGUACAGUUGGUGAUGACUCAGUGCAUGGGAACUGCCCCCCCCAGCC
rnacentral:lncRNA from 1 species